GUGCUCACUUCAGCAGUUCAUAUAGUAAAAACUGGAAUGAUACAGAGAAGAAUAGCAUAGUCCCGGUGCAAGGAUGACACACAAGUUCACGACACAUUCCAUAUCUUU
rnacentral:snRNA from 1 species